CCCCCCCCCAUGAAAGCUGACAUCCAGGGGACAGCUUGAACCUAUCUGAGGCGCUCAGUUUGAUUCCUGGAAGGGAAACAGAACGACUAGCUGCCAGGACUACAACUUAUGACAAAGACGGCCUCCAGGCGACGAGUUGACGAACCAAGGCGAUGGGGUACGACAACAAUGAAGCGAGGAAAGCCACCUACAUGCAGGUUGAUAGCGAUCACGACGCCUACCAAGUUACGACUAUAGUAUACGGUAAUGGUGAGCAAGCGAUUACGAGACUGAUGGUGACCACGGUGGUAAACAGCGAGGGGCGGCAGCCAGGGUGAUGGCAACCAGAACAACGAACAAGAUGACGGCAACCAGA